UACGUAGGGUGCGAGCGUUAAUCGGAAUUACUGGGCGUAAAGCGUGCGCAGGCGGUUCGUCGUGUCCGAUGUGAAAGCCCCGGGCUCAACCUGGGAAUGGCCAUGGAAACUGGCGAGCUGGAGUGUAGCAGAGGGGGGUGGAAUUCCGCGUGUAGCAGUGAAAUGCGUAGAGAUGCGGAGGAACACCGAUGGCGAAGGCAGCCCCCUGGGCUAACACUGACGCUGAGGCACGAAAGCGUGGGGAGCAAACAGG
rnacentral:rRNA from 1 species